rnacentral:siRNA from 1 species
UCUCGUUCAUUAUGUGAUGCAUGC